UACGUAGGGACCAAGCGUUGUUCGGAUUUACUGGGCGUAAAGGGCGCGUAGGCGGCAAUUCAAGUCAGCUGUGAAAUCUCCGAGCUUAACUCGGAACGGUCAGCUGAUACUGUUUUGCUAGAGUACAGAAGGGGCAAUCGGAAUUCUUGGUGUAGCGGUGAAAUGCGUAGAUAUCAAGAGGAACACCUGAGGUGAAGACGGGUUGCUGGGCUGAUACUGACGCUGAGGCGCGAAAAGCUAGGGUAGCAAAAAGGG
rnacentral:rRNA from 1 species